rnacentral:siRNA from 1 species
AACCGCAACCGGAUCUUAUAGGC